GCGCCUGUAGCUCAAUCGGAUAGAGUAGCGGGCUUCGAACCCGUUGGUUGGCCGUUCGACCCGGCCCAGGCGCGCCA
rnacentral:tRNA from 1 species